AUGCGUGAAAGAAAUGAAAUAGAUAGAAUCUUUUUCGAAGAACAACCUAUGCUUAAACACAAUUUGCCUAUUGAAACUCUAGGAGGUCCUCCUCCACCUAAAGGUGAUCCUGUGUUUGAAUUAAAGCAAUUGCCAGACACUCUGAAAUAUUCUUAUCUUGAUGAAAAGAAGAUAUAUCCUGUUAUUAUUAGUGCUAACCUUUCAAAACAUGAAGAAGAAAGAUUAUUGAAAGUUCUAAGGAAGCACAAGGCUGCUAUUGGAUAUACUCUUGAUGACCUUAAGGGCAUUAGUCCCAUUCUAUGUCAGCACAAUAUUAGUAUGGAACCUGAUGCUAAACCCGUUGUUGAUCACCAACAUUGGUUAAAUCCGAAGAUGAAAGAAGUGGUAAGAACAUAA
rnacentral:rRNA from 1 species